GACGUGUGGCUGUCGUAAAAACCCUAUUUGUAAACAACCAGCCCUUUAACUCGGGGCUGCGUUAUAAACACGGCGCGCUUGGAAGACCACGAUGUCAUCUUCCUUCUGUCAGGAGGAUCCAAGUGAAGCUACAGGAGUUUCAUUAACGUCAACAACUUGGACCAAACAGUUUGUUUUGCUUGAUGAAGAGCAGGAAGGGCAGCCUGGAGAGAAAGAGAAGCCGGGUUGAGCCCACUACCAUCAUCCACGUACCACGAGGAAGAUGAGGGAGAGAAAUUAUCCUACCAUUAAAGAGACUGUGAAAAGAACGUUGAGAACAUCACCACUCUACAGGAAGACACAGUCCAGUAAUGGGUGUCAGAAGUUCAGUAGUGAACGACAGAAACAAACAAUCCAAAUUACCUGCAGAAAGCCCUUGAUGGACGCUUCAGCUGCAUCGUCAGACUGGCAGUACUGAUGCAUUUACUGAGAGGGGACGUGAGGGCCUACUCUGCGUGCUCAGAGUUCAAGCCCAGCAGGCUGCAGCGGGCCUGACAUAUUCUGGAACAGCAGCACAGUCUUUGGAUGACUCCUCUGAAGAUGAAAACAUGGCGAGUUCUUCUCAAGAGAAGCAGUACAGGUGUGCCUCAGCUCCACGGUCCCUCCUGCAGCCUCCGCUCCUGAUGCUAACCUCAUGUCUCCAUCACACCAAGCAGCAGACCUGGAUUGACAGACCUUUCUCCAGAGCUGCCCCCUCCCUCUGAAACCCCCCUCUCCAAAACACUAUUUGUGUAGUUUUUAAAGUAUUUU